AACGAACGCUGGCGGCAGGCCUAAAACAUGCAAGUCGAACGCUCUAGCAAUAGAGAGUGGCGCACGGGUGCGUAACAUGUGGGAAUAUGCCUUUUGGUACGGAACAACUUUUGGAAACGAAAGCUAAUACCGUAUGGUCCCUUCGGGGUAAAGAUUUAUCGCCAAAAGAGUAGCCCGCACUGGAUUAGCUAGUUGGUGAGGUAAUGGCUCACCAAGGCGACGAUCCAUAGCUGGUCUGAGAGGACGAUCAGCCACACUGGGACUGAGACACGGCCCAGACUCCUACGGGAGGCAGCAGUUAGGAAUCUUGGACAAUGGGCGCAAGCCUGAUCCAGCCAUGCCGCGUGAGUGAUGAAGGCCUUCGGGUUGUAAAGCUCUUUAGUCCACGAAUAUAAUGACUGUAGUGGAAGAAUAAGCCCCGGCUAACUUCGUGCCAGCAGCCGCGGUAAUACGAAGGGGGCGAGCGUUGUUCGGAAUCACUGGGCGUAAAGAGUGCGUAGGCGGCGAUGAAAGUUAGAAGUGAAAGCCCAGGGCUCAACCUUGGAAUUGCUUUUAAAACUACAUCGCUCGAAUUCGGGAGAGGAUAGCGGAAUUGUCAGUGUAGCAGUGAAAUGCGUAGAUAUUGACAGGAACACCAGUGGCGUAAGCGGCUAUCUGGACCGACAUUGACGCUGAGGCACGAAAGCGUGGGGAUCAAACAGGAUUAGAUACCCUGGUAGUCCACGCCGUAAACGAUGUGUGUUUGUCGCUGGGGAGUUUACUCUUCGGUGACGGAGCUAACGCGUUAAGCACACCGCCUGGGAAGUACGGUCGCAAGAUUA
rnacentral:rRNA from 1 species